rnacentral:rRNA from 1 species
GACGAACGCUGGCGGCGUGCUUAACACAUGCAAGUCGAACGGACAGGCCCUGCUUUUGUGGGGUGCUCGAGUGGCGAACGGGUGAGUAACACGUGAGUAACCUGCCCUUGACUUUGGGAUAACUUCAGGAAACUGGGGCUCAUACCGGAUAGGAGCUCCUGCUGCAUGGUGGGGGUUGGAAAGUUUCGGCGGUUGGAGAUGGACUCGCGGCAUAUCAGCUUGUUGGUGGGGUAGUGGCUUACCAAGGGUUUGACGGAUAGCCGGCCUGAGAGGGUGACCGGCCACAUGGGGACUGAGAGACGGACCAGAAUCCUACGGGAGGCAGCAGGGGGGAAUAUUGCAGAGUGAGCGGAAGCCUGAUGCGGAAACGCCGCGUGCGGAAUGACGGCCUUCGGGUUGUAAACCGAUUUCGCCUGUGACGAAGCGGGAGUGACGGUAAUGGGUAAAGAAGCACCGGCUAACUACGUG